rnacentral:rRNA from 1 species
GACGAACCGUCCAAACGUUAUUCGGAAUCACUGGGCUUACAGAGUUCGUAGGCGGUCUGGAAAGUUGGGUGUGAAAUCCCUCGGCUCAACCGAGGAACUGCGCUUGAAACUACCAGACUCGAGGGAGAUAGAGGAAAGCGGGAACUGAUGGUGGAGCGGUGAAAUGCGUUGAUAUCAUCAGGAACACCGGUGGCGAAGGCGGCUUUCUGGGUCUUACCUGACGCUGAGGAACGAAAGCCAGGGGAGCGAACGGGGAAUUAGACGUACCCCAGUAAGUCCA